rnacentral:rRNA from 1 species
GGAGGAUCCAAGCGUUAUCCGGAUUUAUUGGGUUUAAAGGGUGCGUAGGCGGCUUAUUAAGUCAGGGGUGAAAGACGGUGGCUCAACCAUCGCAGUGCCCUUGAUACUGAUGAGCUUGAAUACACUAGAGGUAGGCGGAAUGUGACAAGUAGCGGUGAAAUGCAUAGAUAUGUCACAGAACACCCAUUGCGAAGGCAGCUUACUAUGGUGUGAUUGACGCUGAGGCACGAAAGCGUGGGGAUCAAACAGGAUUAGAUACCCUGGUAGUCCACGCCCUAAACGAUGAAUACUCGCUGUUAGCGAUAUACAGUUAGCGGCUAAGCGAAAGCGUUAAGUAUUCCACCUGGGGAGUACGCCCGCAAGGGUG